CGUAGGUAACCUGCCUGGUAGCGGGGGAUAACUAUUGGAAACGAUAGCUAAUACCGCAUAAGAGUAGAUGUUGCAUGACAUAUGCUUAAAAGGUGCAAUUGCAUCACUACCAGAUGGACCUGCGUUGUAUUAGCUAGUUGGUGGGGUAACGGCUCACCAAGGCGACGAUACAUAGCCGACCUGAGAGGGUGAUCGGCCACACUUGGACUGAGACACGGCCCAG
rnacentral:rRNA from 1 species